rnacentral:lncRNA from 1 species
AGGAGAUGACCUCUUCAGAAAGAGGAAAGGUAUUGCGUCUCUAAAUUCCAAGAACUUGGCCAAAAGGAAAGAAGACAAUGCCUUUUAAAAAAUAUUUUUAUUUAUUUAUUUGGCCGAGCUGGGUCUUAGCUGCAUCACGCAGGAUCUUUCCUUGUGGCAUGUGGGAUCUAGUUCUCUGACUAGGGAUGGAACCAGGGGCAUUGGGAGCUGGGAGUCUUAGCCACUGGACCACCAAGGGAAGUCCCGACAAUGCCUUUAUUAUGCAUACGCUAGGGGAAAUGAUUCUGCAAGGGAAGGUACUAGCUGCCAAAGCGGAAGCACAGCGACUCCGGCCUGGCUCCGCUGCAGGCUCUGAGUCAGGCUCCUGCGGGGAAGGGGAGCGUCACGCUGAGCCUGGAUGUGGAGAGAAGCCUCCUCCAGCAGGGGUGAAAGAUACCAACUCGUUGGGCUCCUCGCUGAGCCGAGGAGGGCCGUCUCUGGGCUUCACCGGGGCAGGCAGCCGGCCACAGGGUCCGGCCGCGGCAAGGGCACAAAGUUCAUGGGGCACAGCAGCAGUGGGCACACCUUCUCGUGCUCCUUCAGCGCCUCGCUCAGGUGCUUCAGCUCCUCCGUCAGCUUGCCGAUCUCUCUCCGAAGCACUGUGUUUUCUUGCUCCAAGCACUCAUACUCCUGAGAAGACAGGAAAGGCGCAAAAUUGGCCCUGA